GAUGAACGCUGGCGGCGUGCUUAACACAUGCAAGUCGAACGGAAAGGCCGAAGCUUGCUUCGGUACUCGAGUGGCGAACGGGUGAGUAACACGUGGGUGAUCUGCCCUGUACUUCGGGAUAAGCUUGGGAAACUGGGUCUAAUACCGGAUAUGACGAUCUCUUGGAUGGGGUUGUGGAAAGCUUUUGCGGUAUGGGAUGAGCUCGCGGCCUAUCAGCUUGUUGGUGGGGUAAUGGCCUACCAAGGCGUCGACGGGUAGCCGGCCUGAGAGGGUGUACGGCCACAUUGGGACUGAGAUACGGCCCAGACUCCUACGGGAGGCAGCAGUGGGGAAUAUUGCACAAUGGGCGCAAGCCUGAUGCAGCGACGCCGCGUGCGGGAUGACGGCCUUCGGGUUGUAAACCGCUUUCGCCUGUGACGAAGCGUGAGUGACGGUAAUGGGUAAAGAAGCACCGGCUAACUACGUG
rnacentral:rRNA from 1 species